AGGGCACCACCAGGAGUGGAGCCUGCGGCUUAAUUUGACUCAACACGGGGAAACUUACCAGGUCAAAACAUGGAUGGGAUUGACAGAUUGAAAGCUCUUUCUUGAUUCUAUGGGUGGUGGUGCAUGGCCGUUCUUAGUUGGUGGAGUGAUUUGUCUGGUUAAUUCCGAUAACGAACGAGACCUUAACCUGCUAACUAGUUUGCUUCUGAACAAGAGGUAUAACUUCUUAGAGGGACUAUGUGUUUUAAAUACAUGGAAGUUUAAGGCAAUAACAGGUCUGUGAUGCCCCUAGACGUCCUGGGCCGCACGCGCGCUACACUGACAUGUUCAGCGAGCUAUUUUACCUGUCCCGAAAGGGCACGGGAAAUCUUGUUAGGACAUGUCGUGCUGGGGAUAGAUCUUUGCAAUUAUAGAUCUUGAACGAGGAAUUCCUUGUAAGCACAGGUCAUCAGCCUGUGCUGAAUACGUCCCUGCCCUUUGUACACACCGCCCGUCGCUCCUACCGAUUUCGAGUGAUGU
rnacentral:rRNA from 1 species